rnacentral:rRNA from 1 species
GAUGAACGCUGGCGGCGUGCCUAAUACAUGCAAGUCGAGCGAACAGACGCGGCGCUUGCUCCUCUGACGUUAGCGGCGGACGGGUGAGUAACACGUGGAUAACCUACCUAUAAGACUGGGAUCACUUCGGGAAACCGGAGCUAAUACCGGAUAAUAUAUUGAACCGCAUGGUUCAAUAGUGAAAGACGGUUUUGCUGUCACUUAUAGCUGGAUCCGCGCCGCAUUAGCUAGUUGGUAAGGUAACGGCUUACCAAGGCGACGAUGCGUAGCCGACCUGGGAGGGUGAUCGGCGACACUGGAACUGAGACACGGUCCAGACUCCUACGGGAGGCAGCAGUAGGGAAUCUUCCGCAAUGGGCGAAAGCCUGACGGAGCAACGCCGCGUGAGUGAUGAAGGUCUUCGGAGCGUAAAACUCUGUUAUUAGGGAAGAACAAAUGUGUAAGGAACUAUGCACGUCGUGACGGUACCUAGUCAGAAAGCCACGGCUAACUACGUG